rnacentral:tRNA from 1 species
GGGCCCGUAGCUCAGCCUGGUUAGAGCACUCGGCUCUUAACCGAGGUGUCGUGGGUUCGAAUCCCACCGGGCCCA